UAUGCUCAUUUAAUAAACGAAAUAUUUUCUUAUAGCGUUCAUCAUCACUGAGUUCAAUACGUUCGUGGGCGUGCACAAUAUCAUGCGGAUAGACAACACCGUUCAGCAGGACACCGGCAAUCUAUGAAUCCAUUAAACUCAAAUUAUCCUUGAGAGUCUCAUGGCAGAGAUGCUCCAAUUCUCGGUGUCCCUCACCGCGUCGACACAGACCCGCCGCCUUAUUCAACGGCUCGUCAGCAAAGAAAUUAUCACAUAAAUGUCGUACGACAUCGUCGAAACGGUCCUCAGUUAUCAAUUUGUAUUCCAUAAUGCUUAGUGGGGCAAUGGUUAGCGUUGUGCCAGACGUUGGAGGCGGCGGCUGUUGAUUGUGGCGGCUGUACGGUGAGCACACACGCGAAGGCGCUAUGGCACUAUGUGUUGGCAAAUGAGAACUGCAAUCGAAAGUGAAUUAGAUAAAAGAUGUGUGAAUUCAUAGCAACAACAUACGUAUGUAGAUGCAUGCACAUGUAUAUGUACAUAUGUAUGUUUGUAUAUCAUUAGGGCUCAUUUGUUGUAUUAAACACUUUAUUGGCGUUGGGA